UUCCGGCGGCUCCGCGGUACUUCGCGAGGCUGACCUCCGGGGCCACCCGCGAAUACUUCAGCCAUUAGCAGUGUUCUGUGCCACACAGCAUAAGCAGUGAAUGUGCAAAAUCCCCUUCGCAGGAAAACGUCCUUCAGCCCUCUCCCUCGGGGUCCUGCCUGCGAGAUCUAGGUCAGCACCACCCCACAUCCUGGCUCCUUCCUUGGAAAGGAUGUCACUGCGGGGACUGUCCACCCAGCAGAAGAACCUCCCUGACCACUCCGAAGUCUUGCUUGAGCUGCAGCGCCCCCUGCAGGCUAGAUGUCCAGCACCAGGAAGAAAGAAAAAUUACCAGGACACAAUCGAAGUCUCCAGUAUCGACCCCUCGGCAUGUGGAGCUUGAAGCCUUGUGUGGCUUGUUUAUGGCAUUCUUGGACAAACAGACCCAGUGAUUCUUUGGGCAGGAGCUGUAUGGGGAGGAAGAAAGUAAGAAGGGCUAGUCUAUUAGACUGGGAAUGGUGUUUCUCUCUCUGAGGUCUCAGUGUGGGCAUCUGUAAAACCCUGAUGCCUCACUGUGGGAGCAUGGGCAUUUUCUAAGGAGGUCUGGACCUAAACCAUGCACAGUACCUAGGAUUAGAGGUUUCCUUAGUAAUCAAAGGCACAUGACAAGUCAGGCGUGUUGGGCAUGCGGCUAGACUCCCAGCAUUUGGAAAGUAGAAUCAGAGUAUUAGAAGCUCAAUGGCCAGGGGAUGGAGAGAUGGCUCAGUGACUGAAUGAAUGCUCCUCUAGAGUCUUGAGUUCAAUUCCUAGAAACCACAUGGUGGGUCAUAACCAUCUGUAAUGAAAUCCGAUGCCCUCUUCUGAUGUGUCUGAAGACUGCUACAGUGUACUUGCAUAUAUAAAUCUUUUUUU
ensembl:antisense Ccdc142os coiled-coil domain containing 142, opposite strand